UAAUUCCAUUUUAAUAUUUUGUUUUUGUUUUGUUAAAGGAAGCGCCCUGAUCAGACAUGGGUUCAGUGUGAUGCUUGCUUAAAGUGGCGAAAAUUACCAGAUGGAAUAGAUCAACUUCCAGAAAAAUGGUAUUGCUACAAUAACCCUGACCCACAGUUCAGAAACUGCGAAGUUCCAGAAGAACCUGAAGAUGAGGAUUUGGUACAUCCCACUUAC